rnacentral:rRNA from 1 species
UACGAAGGGGGCUAGCGUUGUUCGGAAUCACUGGGCGGAAAGCGCACGUAGGCGGAUUGUUAAGUCAGGGGUGAAAUCCUGGAGCUCAACUCCAGAACUGCCUUUGAUACUGGCGAUCUCGAGUCCGGGAGAGGUGAGUGGAACUGCGAGUGUAGAGGUGAAAUUCGUAGAUAUUCGCAAGAACACCAGUGGCGAAGGCGGCUCACUGGCCCGGUACUGACGCUGAGGUGCGAAAGCGUGGGGAGCAAACAGG